AGAAUUUUUUCCAGAGCUAUAUAUCUAUUAAAUUUGAAACAAAGAUAUCUACAUAUUUAAUCAACGUAUAUCAUUUUUUUCACAGAGUUUAUACACAGCACGACCAAUACAGGCAAUCCUCUGAUAUGUAACUCCCCCUGUGCAUCAGGUGAAGCAGCUCUGGCGCUCGUUUUCAAAACACCGGGCCGCAUGCGGGUCUGUCAUUAGGCUCCUCAGCCCGCUGCUGCCGCCGCCGCUCCGCUAAUGAAAGCGGGCUAUCCGAGAGAGGGAGGGCGCUAACCCGGCUAAACACCCUCCAUCAACCCCUCAAACAACCGCGGCGCGGGGCUUUUUAGAGAUAUCCGCGAUGUAUCACCACUUAGAGUCAGUUAACGUGACAGAAAUAUAUAUAUUUUUAAUUUUAUUUUUAAGUAUUUUAAGCAAUCACUGUGUUAAAUUUACCUCAGUAGAACAACGACUAUGCUAAGCUAAUUCUGAGGGGAACUUUUUAGCUAGCUAGCUAACUAAGACUUUCCUCAUUAUGAGCCUCAUUAGCCCGAAGCUAACGACACAACCUAGGCAGCCAGCUCACACAAAACAGAUAGCUAGCCUUAUUAGCUAAAAUGUAUUAAAAUUAAACACAUAAACUGUAAUUUAUGCUAACAAUGUAGUUAAAUAUGAUUACAGCACAAAUUAUAAGAGCACCAAAAGCUACAAAUACGAUAGAAAUGGUGCUAAACGUUCGCGCUUAAUGUCCAAGCUAGCUAGCGUUAGCUUGGCUAGCUAGCUAGAUAGUUAGCAUGCCAAUGUUAGCCGAGAAACUAAGCUAGCAAUGCUAACUACAUAAAUAAAUGCAUUUCUCAGUUGUGUAGCGCUAGCAUUUUAGCCAUGUAGCUAACGCUAGCAUAUUCAGAUUUCUCAACAUAGAAAGUAUUGCACGAAAAAGUAAAAAAAAAAAAAUACACCCAUACUAAUUAAAUGAAUCAUUUUCUCUUAUUUUUAAAGCGCAGGUCAGCUUUGAAAAAGUUUUUAACAGGUUUUAACAGGUCAGCUUUGACAGUGAUGACACUUGGUUUGAGCAGUGCAGGUCAGCUUUGACAAUGAUGACACUUGCUGAUAGCAGGUAAUCCAUCUGCAGUUGAGGAUUAAUUCCCUGUUGUUGGAAAGUCCUCAGAGUCACAGACUUCAGUGAACUGCUCCACUCUCAUGGGUCUUCAUGGGCUACAUAAUAAUGGAGAGAGCUGAGAAGAAGACAUAAUUCACAACAGGUUCAUUUGUAUGGAGCCUCUAAAGUAUUAAGGCCCACCUCCAUCGCCAAGACAUCAUCCAGGUUCACACACAGACUGUCUGUAUCAAUCUUUAGGCCACCCAUAGCGCUGAACAUCUCUAAAGGUCUUAUAAUAAAAUGUCAGGCCGUGCGGAUGACCUGCUUCAGAAUAGUCCGGUAUCUGCCCCGAGGCCUGCUGAGCUGCACCAUAUGGUUGGAAGACUGUACACGACCUGCAGCAGGAGGAGAAGGGUGGGAGGAUCUAGAGGCCUAGAGUCAUUAAACUCGUCCAUCUUCUGUCUGAGAGGACCUUUGGCUGGAGCUCAACUAAUGGGAAGUAUUGGACAGUUUUUGGAAAUCUUACAAACUUUCAGGUUUUGUUUAGAUAGAAAAAAUGAGUUUUUAGAGAACUAAUGCUGUAAUUAUACAAUAAA